rnacentral:rRNA from 1 species
CCAUGCUGUAAACGUUGGGAACUGGGUGUGGGGGGCUGUUUUGGUUUCCUGUGUCGUAGCUAACGCGUUAAGUUCCCCGCCUGGGGAGUACGGUCGCAAGGCUAAAACUCAAAGGAAUUGACGGGGACCCGCACAAGCAGCGGAGCAUGUGGUUUAAUUCGAAGCAACGCGAAGAACCUUACCAGGACUUGACAUAUAUGAGAAAAGCUUAGAGAUAAGUAAUACUCUUCGGAGACUGAUAUACAGGUGGUGCAUGGUUGU